rnacentral:rRNA from 1 species
CAAACCAAAGCUGGCGACCGGCGCACGGGUGAGUAACACGUAUCCAACCUGCCUCAUACUCGGGAAUAGCCUUUCGAAAGAAAGAUUAAUAUCCGAUAGCAUAUAUUUCCCGCAUGGGUUUUAUAUUAAAGAAAUUCGGUAUGAGAUGGGGAUGCGUUCCAUUAGUUUGUUGGGGGGGUAACGGCCCACCAAGACUACGAUGGAUAGGGGUUCUGAGAGGAAGGUCCCCCACAUUGGAACUGAGACACGGUCCAA